rnacentral:sRNA from 1 species
GCUGGGUGGAGUGGUGCGCACCUGGAAUCCCAGUGACUCGGGAGGCUGAGGCAGGAGGAGCACACGUUUGAGGCCAGCCUGGGUAACUUAGUGAGAUUCUGUCUCAG